rnacentral:rRNA from 1 species
UACAGAGGGUGCAAGCGUUAAUCGGAAUUACUGGGCGUAAAGCGCGCGUAGGUGGUUUGUUAAGUUGGAUGUGAAAGCCCCGGGCUCAACCUGGGAACUGCAUUCAAAACUGACAAGCUAGAGUAUGGUAGAGGGUGGUGGAAUUUCCUGUGUAGCGGUGAAAUGCGUAGAUAUAGGAAGGAACACCAGUGGCGAAGGCGACCACCUGGACUGAUACUGACACUGAGGUGCGAAAGCGUGGGGAGCAAAC